rnacentral:rRNA from 1 species
ARAUGACUCUCGGCAACGGAUAUCUCGGCUCUUACAUCGAUGAAGAACGUAGCGAAAUGCGAUACUUGGUGUGAAUUGCAGAAUCCCGUGAACCAUCGAGUCUUUGAACGCAAGUUGCGCCUGAUGCCUUCUGGUUGAGGGCACGUCUGCCUGGGUGUCACGA